rnacentral:rRNA from 1 species
GACAGAGGAUGCAAGCGUUAUCCGGAAUUACUGGGCGUAAAGCGCACGUAGGCGGCUUUGUAAGUAAGAGGUGAAAGCCCAGAGCUCAACUCUGGAAUUGCCUUUUAGACUGCAUCGCUUGAAUCAUGGAGAGGUCAGUGGAAUUCCGAGUGUAGAGGUGAAAUUCGUAGAUAUUCGGAAGAACACCAGUGGCGAAGGCGGCUGACUGGACAUGUAUUGACGCUGAGGUGCGAAAGCGUGGGGAGCAAACAGG